CACCCAACAGCUAGCCCACCAGCACAACAACAACCAACCACUAUUUAUACCCCUACAUACACAAUAAAUUAUAAUAAUUAAACCAUUCUUCCCCUUAAGUAUAGGAGAUAGAAAAAG
rnacentral:rRNA from 1 species